rnacentral:rRNA from 1 species
UACGUAGGGUGCGAGCGUUGUCCGGAAUUAUUGGGCGUAAAGAGCUUGUAGGCGGUUUGUUGCGUCGGCUGUGAAAUCCCGAGGCUCAACCUCGGGUCUGCAGUCGAUACGAGCAAACUAGAGUGUUGCAGGGGAGACUGGAAUUCCUGGUGUAGCGGUGAAAUGCGCAGAUAUCAGGAGGAACACCAGUGGCGAAGGCGGGUCUCUGGGCAGCAACUGACACUGAGGCGCGAAAGCCAGGGGAGCGAACGGG